GUCACAUCGUCUCCAGUCUCCAAUCCCCCUCCACAUUAAUCAUGAAGUGCUUCAGCCUGAUGGUGGUAGUGUUGGCCGUACUUGCCAUGAUCAUGGGCGGAUCUCAAGCCGCGCCGGAGCCGCAGCCAGCGGGGGUCAAGGGGGUCCUGAAGGGUGCUAAAACCGUUUUAGGAGUGGUUGGAGCCAUAGGCACCGGCAAGGAGAUCAUCGACCGCGUCAGGAACAAGCACGGAUGAAAAUUCAUCGCAAUAGCUAUUAAAUUUUAAGUUAAUAAAUAAUUUAAAUUAU